ensembl:rRNA 5S_rRNA 5S ribosomal RNA
GCUUGUAGCCGCACUAUGAUCUUAUUACAUCUCAAACUAGACAGGGUCAGUCCUAGGUGAUACAUGGAUGGGAGACCACUGAGGAAAACCUAGAUGCUGUAGGAA